UACGGGGGGGGGCAAGCGUUGUUCGGAAUUACUGGGCGUAAAGGGCGCGUAGGCGGCCACCGCAAGUCGACUGUGAAAUCUCCGGGCUUAACCCGGAAAGGUCAGCCGAUACUGCGGGGCUAGAGUGCAGAAGGGGGCAACUGGAAUUCUCGGUGUAGCGGUGAAAUGCGCAGAUAUCAGGAAGAACACCGAUGCGAAGGCAGCUCUCUGGGACGGUACUGACGCUGAGACGCGAAAAGCGUGGGGGAGCGAACAGG
rnacentral:rRNA from 1 species